rnacentral:rRNA from 1 species
GACGAACGCUGGCGGCGUGCUUAACACAUGCAAGUCGAACGGAAAGGCCCUGCUUGCAGGGUGCUCGAGUGGCGAACGGGUGAGUAACACGUGGGUGAUCUGCCCCUUACUUUGGGAUAAGCCUGGGAAACUGGGUCUAAUACUGGAUAGGACCAUGCUGUAGGUGGUGUGGUGGAAAGAUUUUUUCGGUAAGGGAUGAGCUCGCGGCCUAUCAGCUUGUUGGUGGGGUAAUGGCCUACCAAGGCGUCGACGGGUAGCCGGCCUGAGAGGGUGGACGGCCACAUUGGGACUGAGAUACGGCCCAGACUCCUACGGGAGGCAGCAGUGGGGAAUAUUGCACAAUGGGCGCAAGCCUGAUGCAGCGACGCCGCGUGGGGGAUGACGGCCUUCGGGUUGUAAACUCCUUUCGCUAGGGACGAAGCUUUUUGUGACGGUACCUAGAUAAGAAGCACCGGCUAACUACGUG